rnacentral:rRNA from 1 species
UACGGAGGGUGCAAGCGUUACGUCCGAUUCACUGGGUUUAAAGGGUGCGUAGGUGGGCAAGUAAGUCAGUGGUGAAAUCUCCGGGCUUAACCCGGAAACUGCCAUUGAUACUAUUUGUCUUGAAUACUGUGGAGGUCAGCGGAAUAUGUCAUGUAGCGGUGAAAUGCUUAGAUAAUGACAUAGAACACCAAUUGCGAAGGCAGCUGGCUACACAAAUAUUGACACUGAGGCAACGAAAAGCGUUGGGGAUCAAACAGG